rnacentral:rRNA from 1 species
CGGACGGGUGAGUAACGCGUGAGAAUCUGGCUUCAGGUCUGGGACAACCACUGGAAACGGUGGCUAAUACCGGAUGUGCCGAAAGGUGAAAGGUUAACUGCCUGAAGAUGAGCUCGCGUCUGAUUAGCUAGUUGGUAGAGUAAAAGCCUACCAAGGCGACGAUCAGUAGCUGGUCUGAGAGGACGAUCAGCCACACUGGGACUGAGACACGGCCCAGACUCCUACGGGGGGCAGCAGUGGGGAAUUUUCCGCAAUGGGCGAAAGCCUGACGGAGCAAUACCGCGUGAGGGAGGAAGGCUCUUGGGUCGUAAACCUCUUUUCUCAGGGAAGAACACAAUGACGGUACCUGAGGAAUAAGCAUCGGCUAACUCCGUGCCAGCAGCCGCGGUAAUACGGAGGAUGCAAGCGUUAUCCGGAAUGAUUGGGCGUAAAGCGUCCGCAGGUGGCAAUGUAAGUCUGCUGUUAAAGAGUCUAGCUCAACUAGAUAAGAGCAGUGGAAACUACAUAGCUAGAGUACGUUCGGGGCAGAGGGAAUUCCUGGUGUAGCGGUGAAAUGCGUAGAGAUCAGGAAGAACACCAGUGGCGAAGGCGCUCUGCUAGGCCGUAACUGACACUGAGGGACGAAAGCUAGGGGAGCGAAUGGGAUUAGAUACCCCAGUAGUC